AGGGCUAUUUGAAUUACCUAAACUGUAGAACUGAUUAUUAAUGGUUUUUGUCCCUUUGACUUGCAGUCCCUAAAAGAUAAGUUAGUACAAGAGAAAAAGCUGUCCAAUAUGUACCAGGAGCAGUGCAUUUCCUUAGAAGAAGAACUUGCCUAAUUUGUGAGGAAGAGGGAAUGAGGAGUGAGAUCUUCAAGGAUCGCGCUAACAAGAUGGGGAAACGUUUACAGAUAACGACAAAACGCUAUGAAGCAGUGGAGCAGCGACGUAUCUUGGAAGUAGAAGGCUUUAAGACAGAUACUAAGGUUCUCCGAUAGAAACUGAAAGACUUGGAGCAAAUGUUGUAUAAGGUAACAGUUAAUGCCCUGGCAAAUCAGGAUCUCACCAUUCUGUGUGAAGUCCAUGACAGCAAUAGACAGGCACAUAAGAUACAAGGAGAAUUGAAGAAUCUUAAGUCCAAAGUGUU